UACGUAGGGGGCGAGCGUUUAUCCGGAUUUACUGGGCGUAAAGCGCGUUAAGGCGGUUGGCAAAGUUGGUUGUGAAAUCUCAGGGCUCAACCCUGAAAUUGCGACCAAUACUGGUCGACUAGAGUGUGAGAGAGGAAGGUGGAAUUCCCGGUGUAGUAGUGAAAUGCGUAGAUAUCGGGAGGAACACCAGUGGCGAAGGCGGCCUUCUGGCUCAUAACUGACGCUGUAGCGCGAAAGCGUGGGGAGCGAACCGG
rnacentral:rRNA from 1 species